UUGCCUUCCUGGUAGCAGGUACAGUGCUGUGGUUGGGAUUUGGGAUGAGAAUGAUGUUGGUAACACACUGAUGGUUUAGCUGUUGCUAUGCAGUGCUUACUCUAACUCAGGGAAUUUUCAGUUUCCCAUGUUCUGCCAGUGAGGAGGUGCACAGGAAGCUGGGAGAGAGCAUGGCCAGGACAGCUGACCUGACCUGUCAAAAGGGAUAUUCCACAGCAGGGAAUGCCAUGCCCCAUACAUAAACUGGGGUUGUUGCCUGGAAUUGAGUUGAUGGCUGCUUGGGAAUGGCUGGGCAUCAGUCAGAAGCUGAAGAAAAGAAGUAUCAACAGCUGGAUUUUCACUUUGUCUCACUCAUCGAAUGAGAACAUAGUCCUUUCUUGACACAAGAAACUUACUGAGAGCCAGUGCUCUUUGUAAGUGUCCAUCUGGGCUGAUCAGGGGACCUGGGAAAGAAGACAAAGACAGCCUUUGCUGACACCUACUUUUUUCCACUUGGAACAAGAAUGUAGGUUGAUGGGUGAAACAGGAUCCUGCAAAAAGAUGGAAUGGCUGAAGUGGCAGCAGUCAGUCUCCAGUCUGGCAGACAGCAGUGGCAUCUUGCAUCGUGGCAUUGCACACUUGAUACUGUGCUCCAAAUUACUAAUUUUGAGGAUAACAGCCUCCUCCAUGGUGUUGCAACCUGCAGCACAAGGGUGAUGAGCAAGCCUUCAGACUGAAUCACAGUGCGAUGGCUGAGUUGUUUUUUUAAUCCUAACGAGAGCUGUCGUUAAAAGUUACUGAAGCCUGACUUUUCCUCGCUCUUUGUCAGCCCCCCUCAGCCUGGGCUGCAGAUCCCACGUCCUUUGAAGCCAUCUGAGCUCUUUUUGUUGUUUUUUGGUGCAUAAUGAUGCCAGGCAUGUCUGCUGCUGAGGAGGCCCAGCAAGACCCAAUGAAGCGUGACUGGUGGAAAGGCCAAUACUGAAUGUGCUUCAUUCUGUUUUCCUCCCAACUUCUGCUCUUCCAUCCCAUGCACAUCCCUCCAAAAAGUCAAGCUCCAGAAACAACAAUGAUUCCAAGGUGCUCCUGCUGACAUGAUUUAAAUGGAAUUAAACCAAUAAUUUACAAAUUGGAAAAAUCUCUUGUUUUUAAAGGAUGAAAGCAUUGGCUAUAAAUUCCUGAGCCCUUCUGUUCUGUGCCCAAUUAA